AUGCUCAUGAGCCAUGCCUUUCCCAGGCUGCAGGGAUCCUGGCCCAGGACUGCCCUCAGCUGUGUGGUUACAGAUUCCAAACUCCUCCUCUCUCUGAAACUCAGAGCCACAUUUUCCUUGCACCCAGCCUCUUGCUCAGAGGUUCCUCAGAGGGGACCGAGAAGACCCAGUGGUCCUGUCCAGAAGCUUCCUUUGUGCCUGAACUGUUGUGUUAUGGGAAGAGGCCCCCCCUGCACACCUCGUCGAGGAGCAGCCUCAGGCACUGCGUUCGCGGCUCGUAGCCCGGUCUCGUAUUUGCCCUUCCCUCCUCUGCUCAAGCCUUCCGAAAACAGCACCCCCGGAAGAGCUGCCAGGCCGCCCACUGAUCUCCUCAGCCACUGCUCCUCUUCCUUCGGCACCGGGACACAGACUACCCUGUGUGCGAUUGCACAAUCUGAUGUACAUUUUUGGGAGCUUCCCAGCCCUCUUGAGACAUCUGUCCCUCCAGAGAUUCGUGCCAUGGAAUCCUUCCUAUCUUGUCGCUGAAAUAUUGGCAGGCGGAUUUGGAAAAUCUUACUACAGGCCCUGGGCAGCUCUUGUCUGGAUGGCGCAAGAACCUCCCUGCUGCAGUCUGAGCUUCUCCCAGCCUCUCCCAUCCAUUCUCUGUGCCAGCACCUUUCCAAAAUCCCAGCUCAUCACGCCCCUCCUCUGCCGAAAGCCAUUCAAGACCCUGCUGGGUAAAAGCCAAGUUAGCAGCAGGACUUGCAAGGCCCACUGUGGUCUGGUUUCUUGUCACAUCUCCACCUGCAUCCACCUCUACCUCUCUAACUUCAUCCUUCAACUAAUUAUCUAACUGUGCACACAUCCCUGGAAGCACUGUACUAUUGCACAUCUCUGUGCUUCUCCUGCUAUCUAUUCAUCUACCUAGGUCCCCCUUCCAGCUGGUCUUGACAGGGGUGCUCGAGGCCUCGCUCAGGGAUCGCCUCUUCCAGGAAACUUUCUCUGACUCCCACCAGCCCCCUACCCCCGGGAAGGCUAACUCUGCUCCUCUGGUUUCUCUCCACAUCCCAGACCUGAUCUUAGUUCUUAUUGCACGUGGCGAACACUGUUCCUUCUACCUAACAGCCAUUCUGCCCCACCCCUUCCUCCAGAACCCCCACCUUUCAGGUGGCCAUGUAUCCAGGCCCCGGAGAUGAAUCAGGGCUCAUCCAAGCUAUCUCGAGCAUCCCCUCCCCCCUUUCCCCUACCCUCUGCUCACCACCUGACCCUUACUUUCCCAGUCUCCCUUGCAGCACUGCCUUUCAGUCCUGGCCAAUGAGACACAAGAGGUCAUUUUCUGACGGAGGUUCUGGGAAACACUUUUCUUCCCUGAUAAAAAUGCAGCCCCAAGGACGCCUGGUUGGCUCAGUAGUUGAUCAUCUGCCAUCCUCUCAGGUCAUGAUCCUGGGGUCCUGGGAUCAAGUCUGGCACUGGGUUCCUUGUGGGGAGCCUGCUUUUCCCUCUGCCUGUGUCUCUGCCUCUCUCUCUGUGUCUCUCAUGAAUAAACAAAUAAAAUAUUUUUUAAAAAUUGCA
rnacentral:lncRNA from 12 species